UACGUAGGGGGCAAGCGUUGUCCGGAUUUAUUGGGCGUAAAGAGCGUGUAGGCGGCCGUACAGGUCAGCUGUGAAAACUCGAGGCUCAACCUCGAGACGUCGGUUGAAACCGUACGGCUAGAGUCCGGAAGAGGAGAGUGGAAUUCCCAGUGUAGAGGUGAAAUUCGUAGAUAUUGGGAAGAACACCGGUGGCGAAGGCGGCACUCUGGGACGGUACUGACGCUGAGACGCGAAAGCGUGGGGAGCGAACAGG
rnacentral:rRNA from 1 species